rnacentral:rRNA from 1 species
UGUUGCGGUGAAUACGUUCCCGGGUCUUGUACACACCGCCCGUCAAACCAUGAAAGUGACCAACACCCAAAGUCCGAUUCGUCGGCCUAAGGUGGGGGGCAUGAUUGGGGUU